CACAAAGAAAACAUAACAUACCAUGGAGUUCUAGUUUUCUUGGCCCACUGAAAGACCCUGGGAUCGAGGAGUCUCCACAAAUUGGACAGUCCCCCCAAAACACUCAAUGUCCAGUCCAGCUGAUGUAAAAACAAGAGGUCUCCAAGGACACAUGCAUGAAGAAGGGUACUUGACAGUAAAGCCCAUGAACUCGCUACUGUGGGCUUCCAGCAGAAGUUGUUGCCCAGAUGAUGUUGUGUGUUCUUGCCUCCAAGUCUGGAUUAAAGGUGUGUGACUUCCAUCCUCAAGAUUCAGAUCCAGAUCAAAGGCAUGUUGUCUUCUGACCUCAAGAUCUGGAUCACAACUAUGUCCUCCAUUUCUGGAUUAUAGUUUAUUACGGAUAUAGUCAACUUGACAACCAAGAAUAGCCAUCACAGACA